AACGAACGCUGGCGGCAGGCUUAACACAUGCAAGUCGAACGCAUCGCAAGAUGAGUGGCAGACGGGUGAGUAACGCGUGGGAACAUACCCUUUUCUACGGAAUAGCCCUGGGAAACGGGAAUUAAUACCGUAUAGGCCCUACGGGGGAAAGAUUUAUCGGGGAAGGAUUGGCCCGCGUUGGAUUAGCUAGUUGGUGGGGUAAAGGCUUACCAAGGCGACGAUCCAUAACUGGUCUGAGAGGAUGAUCAGCCACAUUGGGACUGAGACACGGCCCAAACUCCUACGGGAGGCAGCAGUGGGGAAUAUUGGACAAUGGGCGCAAGCCUGAUCCAGCCAUGCCGCGUGAGUGAUGAAGGCCUUAGGGUUGUAAAGCUCUUUCACCGAUGAAGAUAAUGACGGUAGUCGGAGAAAAAGCCCCGGCUAACUUCGUGCCAGCCGCCGCAGUAAUAC
rnacentral:rRNA from 1 species